CACCAUGUCCCCACUAGACACAGGUACCAACACACACCAUGUCCCCACUAGACACAGGUACCAACACACACCAUGUCCCCACUAGACACAGGUACCAACACACACCAUGUCCCCACUAGACACAGGUACCAACACACACCAUGUCCCCACUAGACACAGGUACCAACACACACCAUGUCCCCACUAGACACAGGUACCAACACACACCAUGUCCCCACUAGACACAGGUACCAACACGCACCAUGUCCCCACUAGACACAGGUACCAACACGCACCAUGUCCCCACUAGACACAGGUACCAACACGCACCAUGUCCCCACUAGACACAGGUACCAACACACACCAUGUCCCCACUAGACACAGGUACCAACACACACCAUGUCCCCACUAGA